rnacentral:rRNA from 1 species
UACGAAGGGGGCUAGCGUUGUUCGGAAUCACUGGGCGUAAAGGGCGCGUAGGCGGCCGAUCAAGUCGGGGGUGAAAGCCUGUGGCUCAACCACAGAAUUGCCUUCGAUACUGUUUGGCUUGAGACCGGAAGAGGUAAGUGGAACUGCGAGUGUAGAGGUGAAAUUCGUAGAUAUUCGGAAGAACACCAGUGGCGAAGGCGACUCACUGGACACGUAUUGACGCUGAGGUGCGAAAGCGUGGGGAGCAAACAGG